rnacentral:rRNA from 1 species
GUAGGGAGCAAGCGUUGUUCGGAAUUAUUGGGCGUAAAGAGCGCGUAGGCGGUUCGGUAAGUCUGAUGUGAAAUCCCAGAGCUUAACUCUGGAACUGCAUUGGAUACUGCCGAGCUUGAGUGUGGGAGAGGAGAGUGGAAUUCCCAGUGUAGAGGUGAAAUUCGUAGAUAUUGGGAGGAACACCCGUGGCGAAGGCGGCUCUCUGGACCACAACUGACGCUGAGGCGCGAAAGCUAGGGUAGCAAACGGGAUUAGAUACCCCGGUAGUCCUAGCCGUAAACGAUGGGCACUAGGUGUUGGAGGUAUCGACCCCUCCAGUGCCGCAGCUAACGCAUUAAGUGCCCCGCCUGGGGAGUACGGUCGCAAGACUA